AACCCUUGACAUCCUGUGCUAACCCGAGAGAUCGGGCGUCCACUUCGGUGGCGCAGUGACAGGUGCUGCAUGGCUGUCGUCAGCUCGUGUCGUGAGAUGUUCGGUUAAGUCCGGCAACGAGCGCAACCCACAUCCUUAGUUGCCAGCAGUUCGGCUGGGCACUCUAAGGAAACUGCCCGUGAUAAGCGGGAGGAAGGUGUGGAUGACGUCAAGUCCUCAUGGCCCUUACGGGUUGGGCUACACACGUGCUACAAUGGCAGUGACAAUGGGUUAAUCCCCAAAAGCUGUCUCAGUUCGGAUUGGGGUCUGCAACUCGACCCCAUGAAGUCGGAAUCGCUAGUAAUCGUGGAACAGCAUGCCACGGUGAAUACGUUCCCGGGCCU
rnacentral:rRNA from 1 species